rnacentral:lncRNA from 1 species
GUCUGCUUCAAAUUGGAUGGCACUGCAGCUGGAGGCUUUGUUCAGAAUUGAUCCUGGGGAGCUACGAACCCAAAGUUUCACAGUAGGAAGGGGGAAAAAAGAAAAGAAAACAUUUUUCCUAAUGUAACAAUGCGAAUGCUAGAAAAUGACAAGACUGAUCGGUUUUAAACCAUUCUGAAGACUGACUGAGCGUGGAAGUUGCUCAACAAAAAAAGGAACGGGUAUAUUGAGUCUUGCUCUAUUGCCCAGGCUGCAACUGGUGUGAUCUCGGCUCACUACAACCUCUGCCUCCUGGGUUCAAGCGAUUCUCCUGCCUCAAGCUCCCAAGUAGCUGGGAUUACAAGCAUGCACCACCAUGCCUGGCUAAUUUUUGUAUUUUUAGUGGAGACGGGGUUUCGCCACAUUGGCCAGGGUGGUCUUGAACUCCUGACCUCAAGUGAUCCACCUGCCUUGGCCUCCCAAAGUGCUGGGAUUAUAAGCAUGAGCCACUGCACCCAGCCUUAUACUGAACUUUCAAUGGGUUCAAUUCCACUAGGAGCAUAAAGGCCACUGCAUAUGAGUUGUGGAAAGAAGAGAUUAGAAGAAGGAAGAACUUGAGAUGAGUUCCUCCCUUCAACAUUCUGUCUCCUCCUACCUAGCAUCUUCUUUCUUUUAGUCUUUCUAGAAUGUCCAUCUGUUUUUGGCCAUUGCGGAGAGAGAAGCUGAGCUUUAAAGGAGUAGGAGCUUCAAAGGCGUAGGAGCUUCAAAAUUCUUGUUUCUUCAUGUUUGAUCACCCUUCUAAACCUGUCUUCUGUUCCUUCUGCUAUUCUUUUUUCUUAGAGCAUAGGAAAGGGGAGCUUUUAAAUUAAUACUUAAAGCAUGGAAAAAAAGAACUUGAGAAGAAAGUAAAACAAGGGAGAUGAGGCUAGUAAAGUAAGGAAAAUGAAGAGGAAGAGGAGGAAGGGUUAGCUUCUAAAUUCCAAGUCAAAUUGAUAUGGAACAGGCAAGCCGCUUGUCUUACUUAAACUUCAGAAAAGGAUCUGCUGAAACUUGAUAGAAAUGGAAAGGGAAAUCCUUGGGGUGGGGAACCUCCAAACAUUAGUAAUGAUAUUGAACAACUCAAAGUAUUGAGGAAAUCUGCAGGCUACAUGCCUGAAGAUUACCCAUGCAGAUAGACCAAAA